GUUGUUGGAAAAUUUGUGGAACUCUGUCAGUUCACACAGACUGACUUCAUUUUGUUGUGUUUUACGGACGGCAGGGCUAAAGGGAAAAAUACCUGUGUAAUUUUAAUGUAAUCGGAAAAAAAAGUCAUCUCCAUUGCGAUACAUUUUUAGUAGUCAUUGUUAACAUUACGUGUUCUAAUAAAAAAAAGAAAGAGGAAAAGAAGCAAACAGUUACAAGAUGUGUUGAAAAUAUUUUGUCAUCAUGGCGGUAUACGUUCUUUACUUAGCCACGAAACGUAUAGUGUGCAUCUAUAUAUACUCAGUCAGCGACUAUCUCUCUCAUUCUUGCUCGGAAUUCGGCAGGGAGGUGGUGAUUCACCGUCUGAUCAAGGUAUGGAUCUCAUGCAAGUCCUGUCUUCAUGGACGCGGCGGAGUCGGUGUUACGUAGCUAUCAUAGUUAUGGCUGCAGCAACAUUCACGCCACCGUCACGCCACCUUCACAGGAACCAAAGAUGACACACUGAGACAGCACAACACGUCUGACUCCAUGACCAAAAGGCGUGCCAUCUCCGUCGGGUCUUUCUUGCCCUUCCAUUCGCACGCGGACAUCCCGCUAAGGACUCCCCAGAGAGAUGCUGAGAGUUUCAGUCACCGGUAGUGGGGAGGAGCCUUCUGUUUCACCAACUCUAACACUACAACAAGGAUGUCAGCUGAACAGGAGAGCUUGGCUCACUUUGUAAACAAUGUUCUUCUCUCUUGCCAUAAUGAAAUAUACAUACUCAAAUUUUUUUUAUAAAUUUCUCUCAGAAAUAAGAAGUAAUAAA